ensembl:lncRNA
AUAUCUGUUAGUUUCAUUAUUUCUUUGUUCACAUUUGGUCUGGAUGACCUGUCCACGGGUGAGAGUGGAGUGGUGAAGAUUCACUCUCCCUAUUGUUUGUAAAAUGCCCCAAAUCUUCGCAACCCACCAAAAAGGGAUUGUCCUCCUCCCCACCACCACAAGCUGUAUGGAUUUCACGUGGCUACUCCUCCAAUUCUCUUCCAAAGGAACUUAUUUGCCUCAGGUUCCCAGUAGACUUCAUGGUAAUCAUGUGUGCCAAAUCCAGGCUCUACUCUCAAACGAAGGACAGCCCAGAACUUCCCAAGCUAUGGAAAAUCCCCAUUGUCACCCAGAUGCUGUUUUGGCACCCAGAUGCUGGGUCCCUAUCUACCUCACCUUAUGAGAGAUGGGCAACUCGAACAACAUGGGGUACUAAAAAUGUGCCAAUACCCCAGAAGACUUUUUUUUUUUCUUUCUUUUUUUUUCGGAGCUGAGGACCGAACCCAGGGCCUUGCGUUUUCUAGGCAAGUGCUCUAACACUGAGCUAAAUCCCCAACCCCACCCCAGAAGUCUUAGAAGCAACAUCCACCAAUUGUUUUACGUUCAUUGGUAAGGCUGCUGCAAAACUUUCCUCAAUGACUUUUUUAGAUGUCAUGGAUGUUUUACCGUAAAACUCCCUAAAAUUGUACAGCUACGUCAGGCCUUUGUACGUUAUGGGGAAUGGCUCCUCUAUCUCUUCAGGUCUUAUUAUAUGUCUUCCAGAUUUUUUUCUAAAUCUAUAAGAUACUCGUGGGUUUACACGAUUUUAUGUAUAUAACUAUUCUAGUUAGGUUUUUCUUGUGAAGUUGACACAAGUUAGAUGAGAAAAGGUAACCGCGGUUGAGUAAAUGCAUCCAUAGGAUUGGCCUAUAAACAAGAUUUUGGGAACAUUUCCUUGAUUAAGGAUGGAAGUGGGAGGCCCCUAGCUCACUGUAGGUUCUUCUAAGUCUCUUCUGAGACCCAUCCGAUCACUUAACUGUAAUCCCCAAAUCAAGACAGGAAACCAACUGGCAAGCUCUAAACUCUUCAUCUCCACGUCUGAUGUCAAAGCCGGGUCUUCAGAUCUCCAACUCCUUUUUUCAUCUUUGUUGACUGCAACAGACUUCUUUUUCCGGGCUGGUUCCACUCCCUGUCAGCAGCUUUCCUCAGCAGAUAGCCCACGGCUCUGAAAUCUUGAACAUCUGGGGUCUCCAAGGCAACCUCAAUGUUACAGCCUCUCAUUCCAAUGUCUGGGAUCCUCACAUGAUCUUCUGGGCUCCUCCAAAGGGCUGAUGUCACUUCUCCAGCUCUGCCCUCUGUGGCGCUCUAAGCUCAGGUUGAUCCACUCCACUGCCGCUGCUGUUCUUGGUGAUCACCCCAUGGUACUGGCAUCUCCAAUGCACUGGGGUCUUUGCUGCAACUAGGCUUCACCAAUAGCCUCUCAUAGGCUCUCUUUAUGGUGCCAAGCCUCAACUCCCUUGCGUGACCCCUUCAGUCCUGGGUCAUCAACUGCAACUGAGGCUGCACCUUCACCAGUGGCUCUCCAUGGCCUCUCACAGUGCCAAGCCUCAGCUGUUCUUCAUGACCCCUUCAUGCCUUCAGAACCAGUACCACCUGGGUGGCUCUUACACAUUACCAAGUACAGCUAUAGCAUGAGGUACAACCUUGGCUAUCUCUGGAACGCAGCUUCUUUGUGCCCUCGGCAAACACUUCCCAGAAGAUUUCACCUCAGUGAUGCUGGUCUCUUCUUAAUCACCAAUAAUCUCUUAGCUCCAGCUGACCAGCAUCAAUUGUCCCAGUAGUCCCUUUUAUUCUGGACUAUAAAGCCAGAGCCACAUGGCCAAAGCUGCAGAGUUCUGCUGUUUGCUGGGGCUGGAACAUGGCCCCUCUUGUUCUAUUACAUUAUUACCAGCUUCCUCUUUUCCAACUCCUUCACUGCCUAAGCUUGGCUGUCCUGGAAUUUGCUCUGUAGGUAGACCUUGAACUCAGAGAUUAAACUCCCGUCUCCUGGGAUUAAAGGUGUGUGCCAUGACACCUGGAUUUAAGGUUUUCUCCACCUAGAACUUGCUCGGUCUCAGGCUAGCCUCGAACUCAGAGAUCCGCUUGGCUUUAUCUCCUAAGAUUAAAGAUGUGCACCACCAUGCCUAGAUCUAAACCCAGCUAGGUGGGAUCUUGCCCCAAGGUCACCACUCCCUUAAUUCAAAUUAAUAUCUUUGUACACAGGAUUCCGCUCCAUUUCACUUCCUGGUUGUUCCUCCUUUCUAAGCUUGCUAUGCUUAUCCAAAAUGCUCUUCACGAGACUUACACAGAGAAUAAAAUCUGUGGUGUGCAUUUCUGAGACUUCCUUGGUUAAUGCAAUUAAUCCAAGUCCCUUCACCUUAGUCUCAGGUGGACUCUUUGGACAAGGGCAAAAAGUAGCCAUUGUCUUCACCAAAAAAAAACCCCCCACAAAAACAGCCUCUAGACCACAUACUUGAGUUCUUUCCCACUGAGACCUCUUGGACCAGGUGUGCACAAUUCAAAUCACUCUCAGCAACAAAGUCUUCCAUAUUCCUACUAGGACGGCUCAUUAAAGCCCAUUUAAAACUUCCACCGCUUUCCAAACCCAAAGUUCCCCCAUCCACAUUCUUCCAAAGAAAAGCAUGGUCCGGCCCAUCACAGUGAUACCCCAGUCCUGGUACCAACUUCUGUCUUAGUUAGGGUUUUAUUGCUGUGAGCAGACGCCAUGACCAAGGUAAGUUUUAUUAUUUUUUUCUUUUUUCUUUUUUUCGGAGCUGGGGACCGAACCCAGGGCCUUGCGCUUGCUAGGCAAGCGCUCUACCACUGAGCUAAAUCCCCAACCCCCCAAGGUGAGUUUUAUAAAGGACAGCAUUUAAUUGAGGCUGGCUUACAGGUUGAGAGGUUUGGUCCAUUUAUCAUCAAGGUGGGAGCAUGGCAGCAUCCAGGCAGGAUGGUGCAGGAGGAGCUGAGAGUUCUACAUCUUCAUCUGAAGGCUGCCAGGAACAGACUGAGCAUCCCCAGGCAGCUAGGAGGAGGUCUCCAAGCCCACCCCUACAGUGACACACCUCCUCCAACAAGGCCACACCUCCUAAUAGUGCCACUCCCUGGGACAAGCAUAUGCAAACCAUGACAGAGGUACAUUUUCUCCUAGUGUAUUUUCUUUCGGGGAAUAAAUAGACGCCACAUACUCCUUGAAGAGAAUAGCUGCUUGGCCUUCUUGUACUAUUCCGUGUCUGUAUCCAUCUACAUGUGUCUAUCACCCUCUCUAUUUUAUAAAAUUGACACAAGCUAUGGUGUGCUAUGCUCAUAUCCGCCAUAUCCCAUGUGGUCUGCAUAUUAGAAGGGGACUAAUAUAUUUACGUUUCAGUGCGAAACUUCCGGUCACCCUGAAUGGCCCUUACUUGUAGGAAACCUUUGCCAGUCUAUCAACGGACUUACUGUGAAGGCUCCUACUCCAUGACAUUCUAUGCUCUGAAUUUAUACUGCUCUCAGAUGUAAACAAGACCCAGAAGGGAACCAUC